GACGAACGCUGGCGGCGUGCCUAAUACAUGCAAGUAGAACGCACAGUUUAUACCGUAGCUUGCUACACCAUAAACUGUGAGUUGCGAACGGGUGAGUAACGCGUAGGUAACCUGCCUGGUAGCGGGGGAUAACUAUUGGAAACGAUAGCUAAUACCGCAUAAUAUUGAUUAUUGCAUGAUAAUUGAUUGAAAGAUGCUAUUGCAUCACUACCAGAUGGACCUGCGUUGUAUUAGCUAGUAGGUGAGGUAACGGCUCACCUAGGCGACGAUACAUAGCCGAACUGGGAGGGUGAACGGCCAAACUGGGACUGGGAAACGGCCCAGAAUCCUACGGGAGGCAGCAGUAGGGAAUCUUCGGCAAUGGACGAAAGUCUGAACGAGCAACGGCGGGGGAGUGAAGAAGGUUUUCGGAUCGUAAAGCUCUGUUGUAAGAGAAGAACGGGUGUGGGAGUGGAAAGUGCACACUGUGACGGUAUCUUACCAGAAAGGGACGGCUAACUACGUG
rnacentral:rRNA from 1 species